rnacentral:rRNA from 3 species
UAAAAGUACAACCCUGAACGGUGGAUCACUCGGCUCGUGGGUCGAUGAAGAACGCAGCAAAUUGCGCGUCGACAUGUGAACUGCAGGACACAUGAACAUCGACAUUUCGAACGCACAUUGCGGUCCAUGGAUUCCGUUCCCGGACCACGCCUGGCUGAGGGUCGGUAGCUAAAA